rnacentral:rRNA from 1 species
AACGCUAGCUACAGGCUUAACACAUGCAAGUCGUGGGGCAGCAUGACUGAAGCUUGCUUCAGUUGAUGGCGACCGGCGCACGGGUGAGUAACGCGUAUCGAACCUACCCCAUACCCGGGGAUAGCCUUGCGAAAGUAAGAUUAAUACCCGAUGGUUUCCUUUUGCCUCCUGACAAAGGGAAUAAAGAAUUUCGGUAUGGGAUGGCGAUGCGUCCGAUUAGCUGGUUGGCGGGGUAACGGCCCACCAAGGCGACGAUCGGUAGGGGUUCUGAGAGGAAGGUCCCCCACAUUGGAACUGAGACACGGUCCAAACUCCUACGGGAGGCAGCAGUGAGGAAUAUUGGUCAAUGGGCGAAAGCCUGAACCAGCCAAGUAGCGUGCAGGAUGACGGCCCUAUGGGUUGUAAACUGCUUUUAGGCGGGGGUAAAGUGCCGGACGUGUUCCGGUAUUGCAAGUACCGCCAGAAAAAGGACCGGCUAAUUCCGUGCCAGCAGCCGCGGUAAUACGGAAGGUCCGGGCGUUAUCCGGAUUUAUUGGGUUUAAAGGGAGCGUAGGCGGGCUGUUAAGUCAGCUGUGAAAUCCGGCGGCUCAACCGUCGGCCUGCAGUUGAUACUGGUGGCCUUGAGUGCGCGCAGGGGUGUUGGAAUUCAUGGUGUAGCGGUGAAAUGCUCAGAUAUCACGAAGAACUCCGAUUG